rnacentral:rRNA from 1 species
GUGCCAGCCGCCGCGGUAAUACGGAGGAUCCGAGCGGUAUCCGGAUUUAUUGGGUUUAAAGGGAGCGUAGGCGGAUGUUUAAGUCAGUUGUGAAAGUUUAAGGCUCAACCUUGAAAUUGCAGUUGAUACUGGACGUCUUGAGUGCAUUAAAUGUGGUCGGUAUUCUUGGUGUAGCGGUGAAAUGCUUAGAGAUCACGAAGAACUCCAAUUGCGAAUGCAGCUCACAGGACUGUAACUGACGCUGAUGCUCGAAAGUGUGGUUAUCAAACAGGAUUAGAUACGCUGGUAGUCCACACAGUAAACGAUGAAUGCUCGCUGUUUGCGAUAUACAGGAAGCGG